rnacentral:misc_RNA from 1 species
AACGCAUAUUGCGCCCUCUGGUAUUCCGGGGGGCACACCUGUCCGAGCGCCAUUUCGACCCUCAAGCAUAGCUUGGUGUUGGGCGAGGUCCUAGGGGACCCGCCUGUAACUCGUAGGCGGCCACCGCCCGUUCCCCCAGCGUAGCAGGCUAACGCAUUCGCUUGGGGAUGGGCGAGGGGCCCGCUUGGUAACCAACCCUUUUUUAAAAAGGUUGGCCUCGGAUCAGGUGGGGAUACCCGCUGAACUUAA